rnacentral:tRNA from 1 species
GGGUUGCUGGCUCGUCGGAAGGAUCCCGGACUUCUUGUCCGGGAGUCGUUGGUUCGAAUCCCACCGGCCCUCCA